AGAGUUUGAUCCUGGCUCAGGAUGAACGCUGGCGGCGUGCCUAAUACAUGCAAGUCGAGCGAACGGACGAGAAGCUUGCUUCUCUGAUGUUAGCGGCGGACGGGUGAGUAACACGUGGAUAACCUACCUAUAAGACUGGGAUAACUUCGGGAAACCGGAGCUAAUACCGGAUAAUAUUUUGAACCGCAUGGUUCAAAAGUGAAAGACGGUCUUGCUGUCACUUAUAGAUGGAUCCGCGCUGCAUUAGCUAGUUGGUAAGGUAACGGCUUACCAAGGCAACGAUGCAUAGCCGACCUGAGAGGGUGAUCGGCCACACUGGAACUGAGACACGGUCCAGACUCCUACGGGAGGCAGCAGUAGGGAAUCUUCCGCAAUGGGCGAAAGCCUGACGGAGCAACGCCGCGUGAGUGAUGAAGGUCUUCGGAUCGUAAAACUCUGUUAUUAGGGAAGAACAUAUGUGUAAGUAACUGUGCACAUCUUGACGGUACCUAAUCAGAAAGCCACGGCUAACUACGUGCCAGCAGCCGCGGUAAUACGUAGGGGGCAAGCGUUAUCCGGAAUUAUUGGGCGUAAAGCGCGCGUAGGCGGUUUUUUAAGUCUGAUGUGAAAGCCCACGGCUCAACCGUGGAGGGUCAUUGGAAACUGGAAAACUUGAGUGCAGAAGAGGAAAGUGGAAUUCCAUGUGUAGCGGUGAAAUGCGCAGAGAUAUGGAGGAACACCAGUGGCGAAGGCGACUUUCUGGUCUGUAACUGACGCUGAUGUGCGAAAGCGUGGGGAUCAAACAGGAUUAGAUACCCUGGUAGUCCACGCCGUAAACGAUGAGUGCUAAGUGUUAGGGGGUUUCCGCCCCUUAGUGCUGCAGCUAACGCAUUAAGCACUCCGCCUGGGGAGUACGACCGCAAGGUUGAAACUCAAAGGAAUUGACGGGGACCCGCACAAGCGGUGGAGCAUGUGGUUUAAUUCGAAGCAACGCGAAGAACCUUACCAAAUCUUGACAUCCUUUGACAACUCUAGAGAUAGAGCCUUCCCCUUCGGGGGACAAAGUGACAGGUGGUGCAUGGUUGUCGUCAGCUCGUGUCGUGAGAUGUUGGGUUAAGUCCCGCAACGAGCGCAACCCUUAAGCUUAGUUGCCAUCAUUAAGUUGGGCACUCUAAGUUGACUGCCGGUGACAAACCGGAGGAAGGUGGGGAUGACGUCAAAUCAUCAUGCCCCUUAUGAUUUGGGCUACACACGUGCUACAAUGGACAAUACAAAGGGCAGCGAAACCGCGAGGUCAAGCAAAUCCCAUAAAGUUGUUCUCAGUUCGGAUUGUAGUCUGCAACUCGACUACAUGAAGCUGGAAUCGCUAGUAAUCGUAGAUCAGCAUGCUACGGUGAAUACGUUCCCGGGUCUUGUACACACCGCCCGUCACACCACGAGAGUUUGUAACACCCGAAGCCGGUGGAGUAACCUUUUAGGAGCUAGCCGUCGAAGGUGGGACAAAUGAUUGGGGUGAAGUCGUAACAAGGUAGCCGUAUCGGAAGGUGCGGCUG
rnacentral:rRNA from 1 species